UCUCCGUUGGUGAACCAGCGGAGGGAUCAUUACCGAGUUUACAACUCCCAAACCCAAUGUGAACCAUACCAAACUGUUGCCUCGGCGGGGUCACGCCCCGGGUGCGUCGCAGCCCCGGAACCAGGCGCCCGCCGGAGGGACCAACCUAACUCUUUCUGUAGUCCCCUCGCGGACGUUAUUUCUUACAGCUCUGAGCAAAAAUUCAAAAUGAAUCAAAACUUUCAACAACGGAUCUCUUGGUUCUG
rnacentral:misc_RNA from 1 species